rnacentral:misc_RNA from 1 species
AACCAAACAAUGGAAAAUAUUUUCGUGGAAAACAUUUUUUUAGAAAUAAUUUUCAUGAAAAACAUUUUCCAUGUCCAAGUUAUUUUAUACAAGUUAUUUUACGCGAAACAAAUGGAGCAUUAAUAAAUGCUUCUUUGUGCCCUUUUCAACUUGGUUUGAGAAAGAGGGGAAAAAGAAAAGCUUUUUGUCUGUGUUCUUAUGUUGUAUUUGAUGUUUUAUGGCAUUGGUUUUGUGAUUUGUUUU